GUCUGUGUCUGUCUCUGGCCCUGGCCCUGGCCCUGGUCCUGGCCCUGGCCCUGGGCUCUGCCCAGGAC
rnacentral:miRNA from 1 species